GAGAGCACGCCUGGGAAGGUCAAUUAUUAAGGGACACGGGGCCCUUAGACGCUGGGCCUCAGUUCUGUGGGGCCCUUGCCCUUAAGCAACUCAAUGUUUUAUUGAAGAUGUGAAUCCUUAAAACAAAAUGGCUGGUGGGGAUAGAGGCUGUAACAGACAGGAUUAUGUAUGAGAGGAUGUGCUUUGGAAAUAUUCUCUGUAAGAUCCAGACCUCACUGAUUCUCUCUGCUCUCCAGUCUUCCUCUCCUCACCAUCCCACAGUCCUCACUCAAGCAGGGUCAUCAGAAUAACCACCAACU